rnacentral:lncRNA from 1 species
UGGGCGUGGAUCCUUCUUGGGCAUCCUACCUACUAGUGUGAGGUGUCACAUCAUCACAUCUUAUCCCUUGAUUGAUUGUGUAUGUGAAGCCAAUUGGAUUGGAGUUCAUCCUGCUUUUUUGUGGCAUCUAACGUGCAUGCGAAGUAGAGGGUCCGCAUAUCCAGGCCUCCGUGAAGGUUUAUAUCAGAUAAUUUGAGAUUUGAUCUCUAGUUCCAUCAUGAUUCAGGUAAGAAUUUGAUCCUUAAAUAAGUAGAAUAUUAAAAAAAAAUUUUAGAUGCAACCUGAGCAUUCUGGAGGAAAACUGUUUCCUUCCCUUCAUGUGAUCCAUUGAGCUCCAAUCUAGCCAGCAGUGGAUCCAGACUUUCGACGUAAUCCUAAUCCGAUCAGAUUAGGUCACCCGAAGAGUCCCAAUCAACUAAGACUCUUCCUAAUUGAUUCUUGAAUUAAACUCUUUUAAUUCUGAUGAGUCCACAAGUCAAGAUUGAUAUUUAGUAACGUAUCAUGACUACCC